AUGUCGCUUCAAAUUGCAUUGCAUAUGUUAUAUCGCUCAUUGAAGAUUUUAUAUAUUAAACAAGACAAAUCAGCUAAAAAAGGCCGGAAAACAAUCAAAUAUGAGAAUUCGCAACGUGCAUUUGGCCACAACUCUGGCAAAAAUGGAAUUUUGAUCCGGAGAUAUAACUUAAACUUCAAUAUACUGUGAUAAUGCAACUUACCAAGUAUGGAUUAGGAGAGGAAAGCGGUUGCAAAAAUAUGACGGAAAACGGUUCAAUAUGAUAAUUUUCUAUUUACAAAAAGCCAUAACUCCAACAAAAAUUGAAAUAAUAACACGGGGGGUUAGCUGUCUUAUGCAUUCUAUUUUAAUCCAGUUUAUAUGACAAAAAUAUUGCGACAAUACAAUUAUACUGAGAUAAGAAGAUGCGGUCGGAAACUCGAGAUGAAUUUUCUUCCGAACGAUUGAAAAUCCCGCGGGAUUUCCACUUGUAUUGACGUGAUUCGAUGAAGUUUAGAAGCGCGCUGGUUUUCAUCCUCCGGUAAGUAGCAAUGUUUCCUGAUUUUAUACCAUUUUUUAUCGAUACUUGAAUUUUACUUUAAAUUUGAAGAAGAGCAAAACUGUUUCGAUGCGUGUUGACAGAACAUAGACUUUAAAAUGUUCAAACAAAACCAUUCUUUCAAAUUUUCAAAAUAAAAAUUUAAGUGUCUACCGGGAGAUAUUGCUACCAUAUUUUAAAGUUCAGUUUUUAUUUCAAAAUUUCGCGACCAUUUCGAGCGUGUUUCCCGGUAAACUUAUUACUUUUCAAAACAACAUAUCAUCGUGUAUCCGCUGGUAUCAUAUACUAUAAGCAUGAUCUAAUACAAGACAAAGUAAUAUGUUAAAUUCCAUCUAUGACUUUUUGAGAUGUUUUCUUUCGAUUUCUAAAACUUUAUUCGUAAAGAAAGAAUUCAGAAUGCAAGCGUCAUUAGCUCACAUUGUCAUAAUUUAUUAAAACAGAUAUUGACCUCUAUAUACUUCAAGAGAAAAGUCAAAUGUCAAGGUCAUGAAGAUGUAAACGAAAUGACUAUCCCUAUUCGUAUUUUCAUAUGUAAAAAUCAUUUGCGAAAGUAAUUAGUCAUUUAAGACAGUAUGCUACGAUUUGAAAUAAUCUUUAAUUGAUACUCUUUAAGUUUUACUUGACCACAACAUAAAAUCAUGGUAUCUAUUAAAUUUAAUCAUUAAAUUAAACAAGAAAGUUAGAAACGUUCCAACAUACUCAAGAAAGAUAUCGAUAUAUAUUUGCGUGUACAAAUAACAAAAGCGCAAAUUGACUAUGAAUCCUCUAACUAUUUUGCGUGUCUUUACAAGGAGAGAAAAUUGUGAAUAAACAAAAAUAUGUAGUAUUUUUUGUUGUUACAGCUAUCAGUACAAGAACAAUCGAAACUACGGGUUAUAAAAACAAUAAAUAUUGGUUAUGUUGAGCAUAUCUAGCUAUAUUCGGCGUAAUAUUUCAAUUAAAACUGAAUCAAAACGUCAUGUUUUAUGCAAUGAGUUGGUGUUAGGAAUUAAAUUAUAUCGAAAACUUUCUCUUUAUAUAUCCGAUCGUUUAUAGUUACUAAUGGUCAUUAUUCAUGCAAUGUUGUAUCCUCGCUUUCAAAUUCAAUAUUUCCCGUUACAGCUGCUGUUGGUAAGACGCCACAAUCUGCAGCUGGAAUGUUUGAUCUGAUGAAUAUGAUGAAGAAUCGUGGAGGCAAAGUAAUGCCGACGGCGAUGCCUGGUCCAAACAUGCUGUUUUCACCCCGUCCAAAGAUGGGUACUCUUCCAUUCAUCAUGAAGAUGAGAAUGCUGGACGCCAUGGGCAUUGAAAAUCCUAUCUUAAUGAUGAAUUUAAUGGGGGGAAAUAUGGGAGGAUUUGGAGCAAUGAGUAGCAUGGGAUCCCUGCCAAGAGGAUUAGGAGGAAUGAUGGGCGGUAUGCCCGGAAGAAUGCCAAUGUCUAUGAUUGGAGGAGCAAGCAGAGGAGCAGGGGGCAACUUCAUGAACAAAAUGCUCCAGAUGAGGAUGCUGGCAAAUAUGGACCUAGUGUGAUCGUUUUAAUCUAUUUCAUUAUAACUUUCUUCAAAUUCUAAAAUAUUAGAAACAGGCGAUAUAUAUGUAUAUAUAUAUAUAUUUGUAAGCAGAAUGCAACAAAGGACUUAUUGCGAGAUAUUUUCAUUCUCAUAUAUUUAGGUUUUGUCUGUAUAGAAAACAGAAACUUAUAGGUAUGUAAAUACGCGAGAUAUCGAAUCGGUGACUUUCGCUACUUAUAAAUCAAUUAUCAGACAUCGCUUUGAUGGGUUUCUUACAAAAAGCUAUUUUGAGAAUGACAAUGAAUAAAAAAUAGUCAUUAUGUUGUUGUUUUCCUAUUGUGUUUAGCUCACUAGUCCUCAACGAUGUCGUGAAUAUAUAUUUGAUAUACUACGGUGUACGCUGGCGGUUUUUACGCAUGCUAAUACUUUUUAACUAUUCCUCGAUUUCGUCAUAAGAUUACACAAGGACGGUCGUGAAAACUGUGGCAUCCGUGUUACACCUUUCAUUUCAAGUUGCGAUGAUAAACAAUCGUCACUGAAAAAUAAAAAGGAGAUCGCCCACUUCCUGCUUCAUCACGGUGAAUCAUAUAAUGCAAUACGUACAUAACUGCAUAGUUUUUCUUCCUAUUUGUGGAAUAUUCAUCCUGACGAAUCGUUUAUCCUCAUAAGUGAACGAAUCCCUCAGAAAGCUUAUAUUUAGUAUAUUAAUGUUCGCAGCUUGAUACUGACAUUAGAUAGAUAUAUAGGCAUUGGCUAUAACUAGGCCUUUAAUUGGGCUUAUAUCGUGUGUGUCUUUUGCGCAAACCCCGUAAGGCGCUUCUUAUUAUAAAACCGCAGAAUGCCGCAUACCCAACAGGUUCGUUUGUAUUAUUUUCUUUACCCUAUUUACCUUAGUCCCCUUGAAAUAAUAUCGUUGAAAUAAAUAUGUCAUUUUUAUAUAAAAAAAAAAGCUUUGAUAUAAAUUCGAAAAUUCCACUCAUUAUAAGCAAUAUUAAUAAUAUGUUUUAUCAUUUGACCAGACGAAGACCACCGGACUAUAUUUAUAAGAAGUCGUUUUUGUCAACAAAAGCACUUCCGUUAACACUACGAUAUUUUUCUCUACAUUUUCGAAAUAAAUAUCCCCACCUAACCUGAUGGGAUAUGCGGCAAAAUAAAAGUUAGAUUAGGAUGUAUGACAAAUAUUUAGUGUCUUUCAUCAAUGGCAUGUUGAUAAUGUUUGCAGUUUUAUUAAUCCAUUUCUAGCUAACUAUUGUGGAAAUAGGUUUGAUUUAACCAUUUUCAGUUAUUCAUUUGAGCGAUAAAUGUGUAAUCCCUAACAUGAAUCAAUCUUUAUUAUUACACUGUAUAACUGAUAAAAAAACUUGCUUGUCCAAGAAUAUCCCAUAUAAAUUGAGCUGUGACAUCAUUUUCUGAUAAAUACAUAUGUUUCAUAUCUCAUAUCAAAUAACAUUAUACUCAUAAGCAUGUACAUAUAUAGCUCUAUCGAAUAACAUGCAUUCUUCAUCUCAUGGUACACUAUUUUCUAAUUUUUAAAUAAAUGCAUUAUUAACAAAUAUCUUGCCAUACACACUUAUUCAGAUUGCUUCCUGCAUCCCACCAUGCUCCGUCUUUCUUCAGGUUAUAUCCAGCCCGGACAACGGCCUUACAACAACUACAAUGGCUUUGGGACUUCAUUGAAUAACCCAAUGUUAAUGUCGGGAAAUUUUAAUCUGCGAGAUUACAUGCUAAUGAACCUGAUUGCGGGAAAAUAAAAUGAGGCAUGAGGACGUUCGCAAGUGAACCGCGUCUAAGAAGAAGUGAUCCGCCAACUUCCAGUAUUUAGGCAUAUCUGACUAAUCAUAGAUUAUAUAGCGUUUGUCGCCAAAGCUUGAAAAAAAUGUGAAUUGUUAAUCUUGUUUGGUACAAGAUUUGAUGUCAUGCCGAUGAAAUAUAGGGAAUGUAUGUCUAUAUCGUUACAAAUAGAUAUCUCCUGAAAUGUUUUUGGAAGUUAGAUCUUAGGUGAUUUCAUUAAAUUCAUUUGUUUGAAAUGUUUUUCAUCGCAUGACCUAACUAUGUAUAAAAACAACACUCUGAAUGAGUUGAUUUAAUACAAUAUAACCAUGAAAGAAAGGAACAUAAGUAAAGCAUACUAUCUUUAAAUUCUGAAAUGUUUUCAUGAAUUUUUUUGGUUAAGCACUGAUUUCAGUUAGAUAUAAACCAUUCAAUCUGUAAUGCGUUCACGUUGAAAAUAAUAAAUAUUUCUCUAACGUUAAUCAUACAAUGCAGUAAGAGCCACGCUAUUAUUUUUGGAAACAUAAUCAUAAAAUAGAAUUACUUAACAUGUUCGGUGCAGUGACAAAUAUUGAUAUAUUUCUAUGAUUAGUUGGUGUAAGUGUAGUUAGGCUUAUCCCAAAUGGUAAUGUCACUUUUCUAAUAAAUGUGUGCUUAUUUAGCAUAUAUCUUA